GAUGAACGCUGGCGGCGUGCCUAAUACAUGCAAGUCGAGCGAACGGACGAGAAGCUUGCUUCUCUGAUGUUAGCGGCGGACGGGUGAGUAACACGUGGAUAACCUACCUAUAAGACUGGGAUAACUUCGGGAAACCGUAGCUAAUACCGGAUAAUAUUUUGAACCGCAUGGUUCAAAAGUGAAAGACGGUCUUGCUGUCACUUAUAGAUGGAUCCGCGCUGCAUUAGCUAGUUGGUAAGGUAACGGCUUACCAAGGCAACGAUGCAUAGCCGACCUGAGAGGGUGAUCGGCGACACUGGAACUGAGACAGGGUCCAGACUCCUACGGGAGGAAGCAGUAGGGAAUCUUCCGCAAUGGGCGAAAGCCUGACGGAGCAAUGCCGCGUGAGUGAUGAAGGUCUUCGGAUCGUAAAACUCUGUUAUUAGGGAAGAACAUAUGUGUAAGUAACUGUGCACAUCUUGACGGUACCUAAUCAGAAAGCCACGGCUAACUACGUG
rnacentral:rRNA from 1 species